AUUGAAAUACCGGUGCUCGUACGAUCACCGAAGUUAAGCAACUUCGAGCCUAGUCAGAUGGGUGUCCACUUGAGAAUACCAGGUGCUGUAAG